GAAUUAGGGGCCAAAAAUAAGCAUUUUUGUAACUUCCAGACAUAACUUGUUUGUUAGUGUAUGGAUCUCUCUGACAUUAUACCACAAGGUUCCAUAUCACAUAGGGAAUGCUGGGAUUGAUUUUGGGGGUAAUUGCCUCCAAAUUUUAGGAAUUAGGGGCCAAAAAGGGGCAAAAAACAAGCAUUUUUGUCGAGCCUGCGACUUUUGUCGCAGAAAGCUCGACAUAGGGAUAGUGAUCCGGCUACGGCGGCGGCGGCGUUAGCUAACUUCUUAAAAGCUUUAUAUUUUAGAAGGUGGAAGGUCUGGAUGCUUCAUACUUUGUAUAUGGAUGCCUCAUGUUACGAAGUUUCCGUCAGUCACAUGUCAAAUGUCCUUGACCUCAUUUUCAUGGUUCAGUGACUACUUGAAAAAAAAGUUCAGAUUUUUUGUAAUGUUAGAUUCUCUCUUAUUAUAAGUAAUAGGAUAACUAUAUUUGGUAUGUGCGUACCUUGCAAGGUCCUCAUGCCCAUCAGACAGUUUUCACUUGACCUCGACCUCAUUUCAUGGAUCAGUGAACAAGGUUAAGUUUUGGUGGUCAAGUCCAUAUCUCAGAUACUAUAAGCAAUAGGUCUAGUAUAUUCGGUGUAUGGAAGGACUGUAAGGUGUACAUGUCCAACUGGCAGGUGUCAUCUGACCUUGACCUCAUUUUCAUGGUUCAGUGGUUAUAGUUAAGUUUUUGUGUUUUGGUCUGUUUUUCUUAUACUAUAUGCAAUAGUUCAACUAUAUUUGGUGUAUGGAAAUAUUUUAUGAUCUAUUUGGCAGUCACGCAGGUUUUAUUUGACCUUGACCUCAUUUUCAAGGUUCAUUGCUCAGUGUUAAGUUUUUGUGUUUUGGUCUGUUUUUCUUAAACUAUAAGCAAUAGGUCAACUCUAUUUGUUGUAUGGAAGAAUUGUUAGCUGUACAUGCCUGCCUAGCAUGGUUCAUCUGACCUUGACCUCAUUUUCAUGGUUCAUUGGUCAAUGUUUAGUUUACUUGGUUAAUGUUAAGUUUAUGUGACAGUUGUAAUAAAGCUUUAUAUUUAGGACUAUCAACAUAAUAUCAAUGAUUAGUAAAGAAGGCGAGACAUUUCAGCGUGUGCACUCUUGUUCUAGUUUCAUGACAAUAACUUGUGUGUAAGUGUAUGGAUCUCUGACAUUGUACCACAAGGUUCCAUAUCACAAAGGGAAUGCUGGGAUUGAUUUUUGGGGUAGUUGCCUCCAAAUUUUAGGAAUUAGGGGCCAAAAAGGGGCAAAAAACAAGCAUUUUUCUAGUUUAAUGACAAUAACUUGUGUGUAAGUGUAUGGAUCUCUUUGACAUUGUACCACAAGGUUCCAUAUCACAAAGGGAAAGCUGGGAUUGAUUUUGGGGGUAAUUGCCUCCAAA